UCUUGAUUAUCUGAUUUGAUUAUUGGCACUGUUCUGUACUUUCAGCUAUCUGUGCAUCUUGUCGUGCUAAGCUAUUUAAGGAAGGCAAUAUAGAAGAUGGUGUACAGACUUGUGAGACAGCAAUGGAACAGAGUAUGGAAUGUAGUGGAUUGCUUCUGAGACCAAGAAUUCAAAUACAAAACGAUGAAAAUGAAAAUAUGGAAUCCAGUCAAGAGACAUCAAUGGAUACAUGUAGCCAAGAAAGCCAAGUCUCAGAAUCAUCUAUCUCUGGUAUUGAUCGCCUAUCAAAGCUGAACGAGUUCCUAGCAGCGUGCAACAAGAGCCCAGUUAAAACACUUCGUGAGUCAUUUGUCAGUUCAAGUCAGCGAACAAGAAGAAGAUAUGCUGCCAAAGCAAAUGAAUGCCU